UACGUAGGGGGCAAGCGUUGUCCGGAAUCAUUGGGCGUAAAGAGCGUGUAGGCGGCCCGGUAAGUCCGCUGUGAAAGUCCAGGGCUCAACCCUGGGAUGCCGGUGGAUACUGUCGGGCUUGAGUAUGGGAGAGGUGAGUGGAAUUUCCGGUGUAGCGGUGAAAUGCGUAGAUAUCGGAAGGAACACCUGUGGCGAAAGCGGCUCACUGGACCAUUACUGACGCUGAGGCACGAAAGCGUGGGGAGCAAACAGG
rnacentral:rRNA from 1 species